rnacentral:rRNA from 1 species
ACGAACGCUGGCGGCGUGCUUAACACAUGCAAGUCGAGCGGUAAGGCCCUUUCGGGGGUACACGAGCGGCGAACGGGUGAGUAACACGUGGGUGACCUGCCUUUAGCUCUGGGAUAAGCCUGGGAAACUGGGUCUAAUACCGGAUAUGACUCCAUGAUGCAUGUUGUGGGGUGGAAAGCCUUGUGCGGCUGGAGAUGGGCCCGCGGCCUAUCAGCUUGUUGGUGGGGUGANGGGCCUACCAAGGCGACGACGGGUAGCCGGCCUGAGAGGGCGACCGGCCACACUGGGACUGAGACACGGCCCAGACUCCUACGGGAGGCAGGCAGUGGGGAAUCUUGCGCAAUGGGCGAAAGCCUGACGCAGCGACGCCGCGUGAGGGA